UUCCCACCCAGCACAAGACGUCAUUUAGACGUUGUUUUUUGGGCUAAAUCACGUCGGCCCGUCAUGACCUUCAUUUAGUCCAAAAAAAGACGUUGAAAACUGGUCUUUGUUUGGUCCGUCUAAUUCAGUCCAAAUUUAGCCUAAAAUUAGACGUCUUUUUCGGACCACUUUUCAACGUGUCUCCAUUCAAUAAUAAUCCAGACAAAAUAUGCAUGAAUGUAUACGCAGAAAAAAUAAAUACUGAGCACAUUGAACGAUAAUGAAAUGCUUUGUUUAAAGUCUAUUAAUAUUUCUGUUUAUUUUAAUUAAAUAAAUAUGUUAAAUGUGCUCUAAACAGGUCAUUUUGGUCCACUACAGCACUGAUAGAAGCACUUCAUUUUCAUCUUUUAACAAAUAUCUUUAUUUUCUUUUAAUAUGAUAUUAUUGGCAGAGGCGCGCGACCAUCUCAUGCUUUGUGGUCACGUGAUUAUUCAACCGGAGACGCGCGUUAGGGAUUUUCUCCUCAGACCAGUGUUUCUGUUUUGUGGUCGAUUCUGGGAUCCUUUUCUUGGUGUGUCUUGAUGUUUUCUAUUGGCUAAAGACAUGUCUCUGUGAAACUGACAAUCUCAGGUAGGAGCUGCUGGUUUGUGGUUGGCAGUAUGGAUCACAGUCUGCGACUCAUGAGGAGCUGGGCUGGAGACAUGAAGAGGUUGUUAACAGGUGAAGAGGUCUGAAGCUAAUACCUGCCACUGUCUGAUUGGUAUUUCAUUAGGAAUCACGGGUUCCUUGGUAUUUGAAUUAUGUUGAACCAGGCCAUCCAUCCAAGAUCAUCUAUCUGAGCUGCUGAAAACUGCCUCGGUACGGAUCUGUUGGAGCUUUGUGUCACUGACUGUAUUUCUGAAAAUUCCUGUUCCGUGUCAAAUGGCUUAUGCAAGACUGAAUCCAUAAAGGGGAUGGUCUGUGGAGACUGUGGGCGAUUCCUUCUGCUGUCAUUUAAACAUGAGCAGGAGUAAUGACGGGAUUUAAAUGGACGAAGCUAAUAUUAUGCCAGAGUCCGCUGCUUAUGCUGUAACCAUAAAGCAACCAGGACAACACACCUGGAGUGACCGAGAGCAGGAUGAAGAAAGAAUCGGACGAGAAAAUAUCAACUGGUGCCCAUGAGGAGACAUAUUGUUCUUGGACCUGCUUUUUCUGUUUAGUAAUAAGUGGUUUUAUGUGGUUACAUAAAAGUAAUUUAAUAUUCAAUCCACAAGCUAAAUUUCCUACAUUUUCUUAAAAGGGUAGUUGACCCAAAAAGGAAAAUUCUGUCAUUUACACAAACAGUUUGGUUACAAACAUUUCUCACAAUAUCUGCCUUCCUGUUUAUCAGAACAAAGAAAUGUAUGCGGGUUUGUAACAACAUGAGAGUGUGUAAAUGAAAUAAUUUUCAUUUUUGGGUGAAGUACCCCUUUAACAUUUUUAUACACAGGGGUAGGGGUGUGCAGCGGAGUCAGUAUUUGUAUCUCUAACAGUCUCAAAAUUAUUUGUAUCUGUAUUUGUAUUCGGAUUAAACCGGAAGUGGGUGGGUUGACAACUCAUAUUACAUUAAAAUGGCAUUUUAAAUGCAUUUUUGCUUUUUAUUAUAAUUAUAACUUAAAUAACUGUAAAUAUUUAUUCAAAAUAAUAAUACAAAAUUUUAAUCAAAAAGACAAAUAACUUUAUUCUUGUUAGUAAUACUCAUGGAAAGCAAACAACUCAUUUUUAAAGCCUCAUACAGCUUGU